rnacentral:rRNA from 1 species
UACGGAGGGAGCUAGCGUUGUUCGGAAUUACUGGGCGUAAAGCGCACGUAGGCGGCUUUGUAAGUUAGAGGUGAAAGCCCGGGGCUCAACCCCGGAACUGCCCUUGAAACUAGGUAGCUAGAAUCUUGGAGAGGCGAGUGGAAUUCCGAGUGUAGAGGUGAAAUUCGUAGAUAUUCGGAAGAACACCAGUGGCGAAGGCGACUCGCUGGACAAGUAUUGACGCUGAGGUGCGAAAGCGUGGGGAGCAAACAGG